ACUAAUUAAUUAAUUAUUCUUAUCUUUCCAGGGGACUCUGGUGAAUUCGCAAGCGGGCGUGCCUUUCGAUGUGCGAGUUGCCUCCAGUUAUGUCCGGGUCGCCACUCGCUAACUGGAUACUGCUGCGGCGUCCGUUGCCGUUGGCCACAUGUCGCGUGCCGUAGUGGACUUUGCAAGGAAUGCGGCCCAAUUUGGAGCUGUUCCUGGUCUGUGGUUGGAAGAUGCCUGUGUUGUUGCUGCUGUGCUAACUGAGGGGAUCGCUUGCGCUUGGUGCCUGUCGGAGUUUGUUGUUGUAGCUUAGUGUGCUCACUGAACCCUUGCUGCCUAUGCCGGUGAUGCCGUGGCGGAGGUGAUCGGGUUGGUUGUGCAGAUAUUGAUGGCUGCUGCUGAAUGAUCCCCGGCUGCCCUUGUCGUUGUUGCCCUGGCUGAGGGAAACUCAUUGGCAGACUUUGUUGUUGUUUUUGUCGUGGUUUGCGGAGCUGCUCUGCUGAAACUAGUUGCUGCUGUUCAAUGAUCUCUUGCUGCCUUUGUCGUUGAUAGCGUGGCGGAAGAGAUUUAAUUGGUUGUGCAGGGAUGAUUCGCUGUUUCGUUGUUGAUGAGGCUUCUGCCUGGCUCUGCUGCUGCCGCUCCAUACUCCGCAACUGUGCAAAACUUCGUACAGUUGUUCGCUUAGUAAUCACUUGCUGCCUUUGUUUUUGACGUCGUGGCAGGGGCGACCGAAUUGGAUUUGCAGAAUUAACUAGCUGCAUUUUUGCUGGUGGGCCUUCUGCCUGGCUCUGUUGCUGUUGCUCAGUGUUCCUC